CGUCCGAAACCGCCUACUUCUCUACUAUUUAGUAGGGGAAAAGCAGUAGGCGAGCGAAUAAGUAUGUCCGAAGCAAAAAGAGUAGGCGAAAAUUACCUGGGUGACGUACUAAUUCUCGCGAGAUGCGGACGUGCGUCUACUUAAAGUGCGUCCGAAACCGCCUACUUCUCUACUAUAUAAUAGGGAAAAAGCAGUAGGCGAGCAAUUAAGUAUGUCAGAAACCUCAGUAAUCAUAAAUGAGUAGUUGAGAAGUUCCCGGAUGGCCUACUGCUUCCGCCCAGAUUCUGAAGUGUUCCUCGAUCGAUACUUUUCUAUCCCAGGAGGCCACGGGAGAGGAUACGUCAUAAUUGAACACGGAGGAGAAAAGCGGCACGGAUGCUUUCAAAUGGACAGAUGAUCACACGUGUGUUUAUCCGUUGAUGAAGGAAUGCUGCCAUCAAAGGCUUUGAGUGAGGAUACUACAGAAAUGAAUAAGUCUAUUUAAAUCUAAAGUCUAGUUUAUUUUAAUUAUUGUAAUUUAAACAGAGUUAUUACAGCACUUUUCUGAAUCUUGAUUUCUGUGCAUUUGCUGCAGAGCUUUGUGGUGAAGCAGGACCUACAAGACAAGGUGACUGCAGCAAAAAAGGAAAACCUGAAACAAAAAUAUAAAGAUGUGAAAUGUCCUCAGACUGGUGUGAGCACUGAGGAUGGAGAGCCACAGCAGGUCCUGGAAAUGGUGUAGAGCCAUGGACGAGACGCUCCAUCACUCCUCCUUCCAAGUGACUGGAGGUGAUGCUGCAGAGAUUGAACCAGCAACCUUCUGCUGACCAGCUCAGUGGUUUAGCCCACCACACCACAAAAUCAUGCUGAUGGAGAGCACAUGAAUGUUUGCAGCAGACACAGCAGCAGCCAGAUUGUCCUGCACAUCUUCUCCCACUCUUGCUUCAAGGUUGUGGGGUUCAGGGGUCCAUCAUCAUCCUCUGGAUCAACGAUGUC